AAAAAAUAUUUUGGUCAAUGACCCUAUUUAUUUAUAUUCAAUUGGUUUAAACCUGUUAUGCCCUUUGGCGGUGCAGGUUGAGAGCAUAAAUAUUUUUUAAUUUCUUUUAUAAGCUCUCAAUUAGAAAUUGUCCCUAUCUACUAUCUAGCGAAACCACAGCCAAGGGAACGGGCUUGGAAAAAUCAGCGGGGAAAGAAGACCCUGUUGAGCUUGACUCUAGUCUGACUCUG
rnacentral:ncRNA from 1 species